GACGAACCGUGCGAACGUUGUUCGGAAUCACUGGGCUUAAAGGGCGCGUAGGCGGGCUGGUAAGUCAGGGGUGAAAGCCCACGGCCCAACCGUGGAAGUGCCUUUGAUACUGCCAGUCUCGAGGGAGGUAGGGGCGUGCGGAACUUCCGGUGGAGCGGUGAAAUGCGUAGAUAUCGGAAGGAACACCUGCGGCGAAGGCGGGUUGCUGGGCUGACACUGACGCUGAUGCGCGAAAGCCAGGGGAGCGAACGGG
rnacentral:rRNA from 1 species